UACGUAGGUGGCAAGCGUUGUCCGGAUUUACUGGGCGUAAAGAGCGCGCAGGCGGCCUUGUAAGUCGAAUGUGAAAGCCCCCGGCUUAACUGGGGAGGGUCAUUCGAUACUGCUUGGCUCGAAGACAGGAGAGGGAAGUGGAAUUCCCGGUGUAGUGGUGAAAUGCAUAGAGAUCAGGCAGAACACCUGGGGCGAAGGCGGCCAGCUGGGCCGUCCCUGACGCUGAGGCGCGACAGCGUGGGGAGCAAACAGG
rnacentral:rRNA from 1 species